GUAGUUAACACCUGCAUUAUUUGACGUUACCUACAGAAGAAGCACCGGCUAACUCCGUGCCAGCAGCCGCGGUAAUACGGAGGGUGCGAGCGUUAAUCGGAAUUACUGGGCGUAAAGCGCAUGCAGGCGGCCUCGUUAAGUCAGAUGUGAAAGCCUGGGGCGUUAACCUCGGAAUUGCAUUUGUAAACUGGCAGGCUAGAGUCUUGUAGAGGGGGGUAGGAAUUUCAGGUGUAGCGGUGAAAUAGCGUAGAGAUCUGAAGGAAUACCAGUGGCGAAGGCGGCCCCCUGGACAAAGACUGACGCUCAGAUGCGAAAGCGUGGGGAGCAAACAGGAUUAGAUACCCCUGGUAG
rnacentral:rRNA from 1 species